AAAAAAUAAAAAAAAAUAAAAAAAAAAAAAAAAUAAAAAAAAAAAAAACAUUUUAAAAAAAAAUAAAAAAAAUACAUAAAAAAAAAAAAAUUAAAAAAAAAUAAAAAAAAAGUACAAAUAUUUUACAAUGAUGUAAACUAAUAGUAUUCAUUGGUCGGGUGGUGCUUCAGUAGUAGGCGGGGCUUCAGCAGUCGGCGGGGCCACAGAAGGAGGAGGCGGCAGAGGUUGAUCAGUUGGAGCUUCACUACGCG
rnacentral:lncRNA from 1 species